AAUCAACGCUGGCGGCGUGCCUAACACAUGCAAGUCGAGCGCGAAAGGGGGGCAACCCCGAGUAGAGCGGCGAACGGGUGAGUAACGCGUGGGUGAUUUGCCUCCGAGUGGGGAACAACACCGGGAAACUGGUGCUAAUACCGCAUGACAUCCUCGGGUCGUACUGGGGAUCAAAGCUGGGGACCGCAAGGCCUAGCGCUUGGAGAGAAGCCCGCGUCCGAUUAGCUAGUUGGUGGGGUAAGGCCUACCAAGGCGACGAUCGGUAGCCGGCCUGAGAGGGCGGACGGCCACACUGGGACUGAGACACGGCCCAGACUCCUACGGGAGGCAGCAGUGGGGAAUAUUGGACAAUGGGCGCAAGCCUGAUCCAGCGAUGCCGCGUGUGUGAAGAAGGCCUGCGGG
rnacentral:rRNA from 1 species